rnacentral:miRNA from 1 species
GAGCAUUUUUGGUUACGAGAAAGAAGAAAUAUGCUGCCGUGAAAUCGAGAAAGAGAGAGCCACACCGGCAGCAUAUUUCUUCUUUCUCGUAACCAAAAAUGCUC